UACGUAGGGCGCAAGCGUUGUCCGGAAUUAUUGGGCGUAAAGAGCUCGUAGGCGGCUUGUCACGUCGGGUGUGAAAGCCCGGGGCUUAACCCCGGGUCUGCAUUCGAUACGGGCUAGCUAGAGUGUGGUAGGGGAGAUCGGAAUUCCUGGUGUAGCGGUGAAAUGCGCAGAUAUCAGGAGGAACACCGGUGGCGAAGGCGGAUCUCUGGGCCGAUAUUGACGCUGAGGAGCGAAAGCGUGGGGAGCGAACAGG
rnacentral:rRNA from 1 species